GAAUCUGACUGCGUCAUUCUCUAAGCCAGGGUGAGGGAAGGGAAAGAUGGAGGGCGUUGGAGAAGUUAAGACUUCAGGAUAAGAGACAGAGGUAUUUACUGAGCACCUACCACAUGGGAGGAGCUUCUGGGUGCUGAAGUUACCAUGGUGAACAGGACAGACCAAGUCCCUCUCUGAGGAAAUCAACAUUCUAAGCAGGGAGAGGAUGGGGGAAUCUCUGCCAAGUGGACAUCUGGCUGCUGGGCCAGCUGUGCAGCCUGGGGCUGGAGAUGGGGGCACUGCAGGAGGAAGUGGUUGCCUUCCUGGAAGAAGAGGAGAAAGAGCAUCGAGGAAGAGGAGGAGGCCGAAGAGCCCAAAGGAAAGCAGGAGGAAGGACACAUGGGGAUCUCCUACCUUGGUCUUUCCCACUGCCUCCUCAAGUUUGAGAUGACUAUCUGAGGCUCUGCCAGCGUGCUUCUAAUUGAGACGGGAAUGAGAUGCAAAUUUAUGCAAAGAAGAGGGGAUGUGCAGGUCAAAUCAAGUGAAAUGUUGAUUUGGAGCCCACAUGUGUUCCUUGAACAAGUACUUUCUCUGAAGAUGUCUGAGAUGAGACUGAGGGGUUGGCCUGUGAGCUGUGGGCAUGUUUGUGGGUGAUCAGGGAGGUUUGUAGAGAAACUCUAGGUGUAUUUGCAGAGGAGCCGCAGGUGUGUUGCAGAGGAGACGUGGGUCUCUGCAAAUAUGGUGGAGAUGUGGGCAGAGGCUGUUGUGCACCUGAGACGUGGCUAGCCCUAUUGAGAUGCUCCGUAUGUGUGACAUAUACACCAAAUUUCAAAGGCUUGGUAUGAUAAAGAGAUUAUCAAACAUUUCAACAAUCUUAAAAAUUAAUAACAUAUUGAAAUGAUAAAUAUUUUGACUAUAUCGGGAUAAAUAAAAAUAUUACUAAAAUGCA